rnacentral:rRNA from 1 species
UACAGAGGGUGCGAGCGUUAAUCGGAAUUACUGGGCGUAAAGCGUGCGUAGACGGUUAUUUAAGUCGGGUGUGAAAGCCCCGGGCUCAACCUGGGAAUUGCAUUCGAGACUGAAUAGCUAGGGUACGGUAGAGGGAAGCGGAAUUUCCGGUGUAGUGGUGAAAUGCGUAGAUAUCGGAAGGAACAUCAGUGGCGAAAGCGGCUUCCUGGACCAGUACCGACGUUCAGGCACGAAAGCGUGGGGAGCAAACAGG